GAGAUGAGUGGGACACUGAUGGAAAGUGGUAGGGACCACAGCUGUUCUGAAUAAAAUGCCUUGAAAGAAGAUGCUAUAACAAGAUAAUCUUAGAAUGGAAGUUGGAAAUGUUAGGCUCUUGCUGCCCCUGACAAUGGAAGCUCUACUGUCUCUGAAGCAAGACACGCUGAUGGCUGAGAUUCCUUGCUGCACUGCUCCUGGUUCACCUUGGGAUCAGCUGCACUUUUGGUCAUUCCCGCUCCUUUCAAAACCCGUCUCUCGUACCACAGUCGACACUGCAGUUCUGUCUCACGAAAUGCCUGCUCGCAGAAAUCUCCAGAUGUGGUUUAGAGCUCCUCCCUGCCACUCAUGUGCCCCAGCGUUUUGCUGUCCGGUGCUGGUUGACUGUACGUGCUUGCUCAGCGACACUGGGUCCACCCAAACUUCCCUGGGUUCCUCAAUCAACUUUUUCUAAAUUGUUCCAGGAGCGGCAGCCUUUGGCUGACUCACUGAAGCCCUAUUAACUGAAUAAUAGGACAUUUCCCACUGCUUUACCUGGCAUCUGCUUUCAUUAAGUAAUAUUAAAGUUUUCAUUAGUAAUAUAAUCAAAGUAAAUAAAAGCCUGAAGUCAGUAAUGCUCCUACUGAUUUAUGUCACCAGUUGUAAGAAAAAUUGAAAUCAGACCUUUAAUUAGCCAGGUGAUUAAGUACCAAAUGACUUUCUGGGAGUGAGAGCAGACACCCAAGAUACAUUUACCAAAACUUAGGUAGAAAAUGCACUCGUGUUUCAAAUGGCACCUCAUAUUAGGUGGCAUUUACAAAAACAUGUAACUGUACAAUGUUGAAAUGAUGGGGCAGCCCUUUAAUAAAUCAUGUGCAAAAAAGGCGUUUUGCGAACAGAAUCUGCACUUCAGGCAUAUUCUUAUUAUUACUUAAACCCAGAGUCGACCGAAAGGGAAAACUCUCGUUGCCAACUGUGACAGACUGCAGCACUGCACUAACAGGAAGGCUAUUUUAGUUCUGAAUUGGGAACUGGAUUACUUAUUCAAAAAGUAGUUUUCAAAACUGCAAAACUAUGUUCUUGUUCCCUUUGCAGUAUGUUCCUAACUGUAUCCUUUUCACUGCACAAUUUCAAAGGAUUGUGUCUUUGCUAUAUAUACACACAGCACCUUGGUUUCUGAAAUUGGUUUCCCCCAAUUUCUGGCUGGUUUGAACAACCCUGACUUGUUUCCCAUAUACCUAUUUCAAUAACAUCCCAGCAGCUGACAGCAGGCACCUUGGACCGGGCUUCACAUCAGCCUUCGGAACAGCUGCCGGGAAAAGGACAGUAUUUCUGAGCUACAGAUGGGUAUGCUUGCCGUGGAUGUUACAGUUUAGGUUCGUGCUACUGCA